rnacentral:rRNA from 1 species
GGCUUCCUACGGGACGCAGCAGUGAGGAAUAUUGGUCAAUGGUCGGGAGACUGAACCAGCCAAGCCGCGUGAGGGAGGAAGGUACAGAGUAUCGUAAACCUCUUUUGUCAGGGAACAAAGGCGGGGACGUGUCCCCGGAUGAGUGUACCUGAAGAAAAAGCAUCGGCUAACUCCGUGCCAGCAGCCGCGGUAAUACGGAGGAUGCGAGCGUUAUCCGGAUUUAUUGGGUUUAAAGGGGGCGCAGGCGGUCUGGUAAGUCAGCUGUCAAAGCCCGGGGCUCAACCCCGGCCCGGCGUUGAAAAGGG